rnacentral:rRNA from 1 species
UUCUAGCAAUCAAUAAGCGGAGGAAAAGAAACCAACAGGGAUUACCUUAGUAACGGCGAGUGAAGCGGUAAAUGCUCAAAUUUGAAAGCUGCCAACAGGCCGCAUUGUAAUUUGUAGAAGAUGCUUUGGGUAUCGGCCCAGUCUAAGUUCCUUGGAACAGGACGUCAUAGAGGGUGAGAAUCCCGUAUGUGAUUGGUGCCGGCCCCCGUGUAAAGCUCUUUCGACGAGUCGAGUUGUUUGGGAAUGCAGCUCAAAAUGGGUGGUAAAUUUCAUCUAAAGCUAAAUAUUGGCCAGAGACCGAUAGCGCACAAGUAGAGUGAUCGAAAGAUGAAAAGCACUUUGGAAAGAGAGUUAAACAGUACGUGAAAUUGUUGAAAGGGAAGCGCUUGCAAUCAGACUUGCAGGCGGUUGAUCAUCCGAGGUUCUCCCCGGUGCACUCGAUCGUCUUCAGGCCAGCAUCGGUUUCAGUGGUGGGAUAAAGGCUGUGAGAACGUAGCUCUUCGGAGUGGUUAGCUCACGGUGCAAUGCCGCCUACUGGGACCGAGGACCGCGCUUCGGCUAGGAUGCUGGCGUAAUGGUUGUAAGCGACCCGUCUUGAAACACGGACCAAGGAGUCUAACAUCUAUGCGAGUGUUUGGGUGUCAAACCCAUACGCGUAAUGAAAGUGAACGGAGGUGAGAACCCUUUAGGGCGCAUCAUCGACCGAUCCUGAUGUCUUCGGAUGGAUUUGAGUAAGAGCAUAGCUGUUGGGACCCGAAAGAUGGUGAACUAUGCGUGAAUAGGGUGAAGCCAGAGGAAACUCUGGUGGAGGCUCGCAGCGGUUCUGACGUGCAAAUCGAUCGUCAAAUUUGCGUAUAGGGGCGAAAGACUAAUCGAACCAU